ACAAAAGCUGUUUGGGACGAUGAGUUGACGUUGAUAUUUUGUGAACUUUGCGUAAAUGAAGUCAAUGCUGGCAAUAAACCGACAACUCAUCUAAACUCAAAGGGAUGGGAAAAUGUCAUUGCUCUUUUUCAAGCAAAAACACAAAAAAAUUAUGGAAAACCUCAAUUGAAAAAUAAGUGGGAUACAUUAAAAAAGGAAUGGAGGUUAUGGAGGGAGUUGCUUAAGGAAUCUACAGGUAUUGGAUGGUGUCCAUUGAAAAAGACGGUCGAUGCUACCGAAGAGUGGUGGGCUGAAAAAAUACAGGUUAAUGUUAACUUUAUCAUUAUUUUAAUGCAUAAAGUUUAUUAAAAUUAAUAAUUUACAGUUAUAAAAAUCUUAGUAUAACAUUUAACGUUUAACAUAUUAUGUAGGAAAAUCCUGAUUUUAAAGGAUUUAAGAAGAAAGGAAUUGAACCACGAUUGAAUGAGUUAAUGUGGCAAAUGUUUGGUGGCAUUGUAGCCACUGGAGAAAACGCAUGGGCACCUUCGUCUGGUGUUCUUCCACGUGGGGUUCCUAUGGGAGAUGAUGCACCUAAUGAGGGAUUUGGUGAUUCAGAUGAACAUAGUAACGAGAAUGAAGGUAUUCCCCCUGAUGAGGUACCAUCAAACCCUUCUCAUGGAAUCCCUAAUCGAAGAAAGGAAACACUUGGGGUUGUACACGGUAAGGGAAAAAAAUCAAGUUCAAGUAGAAAAUCAUCAAGAAAUACAUUAACUACUCAGAUUGAGAAAUUGUGUGAGAGUAUGGCUAGUCCAAGGAAGUCAGUGAACGAAAUUAUUUUUCCUCACUCUCAAUAUACUAUUUCAAAUGCAAUGGAUGCUUUGCGUGCUUUGGGAGAUGAAAUUCCAAAAAGAGAUGAACUGUACUAUUUUACCACCAAAAUGUUCCAAAUACCGGUGAAACGAGAAAUGUUUUUGAACUUAGAUCCAGAUGAUAGGGUUUGGUGGCUUCGACGUGAGUAUGCUGAACAAAAUCCAAUUGCAUCAUUUUCAUCCUUGGUAGCAACAUCCCCAUUUCCCUUCCAACCAUACCAUCAACCACCUCCACCAUCAGCUCCUUAGAAAUAUUAUUGUAAUAUAACUAUAAUACUUUUUUAUAUGUAAGACUAAUGUAUGCUACUUUGUAUGUUUGGUAUUUUUAUGUUAUGCUUUUAAUCAAGUUUCUGUGUUGUAUAGAAUGUCACGAGAUUUUAAAGGAUUUAUUUUCAUUUGAUUACUUUUUCAGGUUAUGGAUGAAUUUAACAAUAUGUAUAAUAGUUUUGAUAUGAAUUAUGAUACCUCUGAAUUAAGUGAAGAAGCUCAACGAAGAAUAGCCACAAUUGUUACCCAAGUUGAGCACAACAAUUAUCAUAAUGAGGAAGAAUAUGUGUUAAGCAGUGUAUUGGUACACCAUGAAACUUAUUUCACUAUGCAACCGCGUAUGGAUUCAAAUUAUACUGGUCAAAUGUGGGUGGACGAAGUAUUAAAUGGGCACGAUGAUCGUUGCAUGAUUAGUUUUAGAAUGCCAAAAAAUAUAUUUCACAGAUUGUUGCAUGAUUUGCAAACAAAUUAUGGCUUAAAGAAUGGGAAAGUAUUGGCGAUGGAGAAGUUAGCAUUAUCAUUGUACAUUCUUGGAAAUAGAGAAUCAAAUUCAAAUGCAACAGAGCGAUUUCAACGAUCUGGGGAAACUGUUAGUCGAAUUUUUACUGAUAUGUUGCAUAUAUUUGCUCGAAUGGGAAUAGACACGAUUAAACCCAUUGAAGGUCAAUUCGAGGAAGUACCGAACCAUAUUCGACAUGAUACAAGAUAUUGGCCUCACUUUAAGGUAAAAUUUACACAAUCUUUAUAUUUUUAAAACAUAAAUUAUUUCUAACUUUUAUCUCAUUACUUGUAUUUAUUUUAAAGGGUUGUAUUGGGGCCAUAGAUGGAACACACAUAAAAGCAUGCAUUUCGCCUUCUUCUCAAAUACCUUAUAUCGGACGGAAAGGUGAACCAACUCAAAAUAUUAUGGCAGCUUGUGACUUCAACAUGUGCUUUAUUUUUGCAUUUCCUGGUUGGGAAGGAACAGCACAUGAUAGUAGAAUUUUUUUGCAAGCACUUAGAAAGCAAGAGUUGAAGUUUCCACACCCUCCACCAGGUCGAACUUUAAUUUUUUAAUUACUUUUUAUAUAAAAAAUAUUUUUAAUUUAUUUUUAAACUUGAUAUUAUGUUUUACUUUUUUUGCAGGAAAAUAUUAUCUUGUGGAUUCCGGAUAUCCACAAAUGGCAGGUUUUCUAGGUCCAUAUAGGGGGGAACGAUAUCAUUUACCUGAUUUUCGUCGAGGUAAUCAUCAAGUAUCUGGAAAAAAAGAAAUCUUUAAUCAUGCCCAUUCUUCGUUACGCUCUGUGAUUGAACGAACAUUUGGAGUGUGGAAAAAAAAUGGCCAAUAUUAAGAGAUAUUCCAAGUUAUUCAUUCGACAAGCAAGUUUUAAUAGUUAUUGCAACAAUGGUUUUGCAUAAUUACAUUCGAAGACAUGCUUGGUCAAAUGAUGAGGAUUUUCGAGAAUUUGAGAAUAUACCGGACAUGCCAGUCUCUUCAAGCCAAUUUGACAGAGGUGAAUCGAGUUCUUCUAACAGAGAAAGUGACCUUGAAAUCACAAUGUUAAGGGAAACCAUUGCAACUAGUUUAAUGAAUCAAUAUUUGUAAACACAUUUUGUAUCAUAACCUAAUUUCUAGUAAUAAUGAAACUUGUUAUGUCUUAUGUUACUAUAUUUUUUUAUUAAAAAUCAUCCGUUUAGAUACUUCAAAAUUAGAUCCAAGUAUAAUGUUAUUAUUUAUGAAAAUAAUAUUUAUCAUUGUUAUAAAAAAAUAUUUAAUUAUAACUAUAAAAAAAUUAAAAAUAAUUAUCAUUUUAUCUAAUAAAUAAUUUAAAUUAUUUAUAUAAUUCCUUAAAAUAUUGAAAGAUACAUUUUAAUAUUUUAUUAAAUGAAUUUGCAUAUUUUAAUAAUUUUAAAAAAAUAAAAUAAUUUAAAUAACUUCUAUUAUAUAUCAAUUCUAAUCUGAUGUCCUUAAUAGUUAUUUUUCAUUCUCACCUCACCGCUACAGCUGCGUUUGAAUCCAAACACACACUCCACCAUUGUUUCUAAUCUCACCGCUACAGUACCCAAUCUCACCGCUACAGUAACUAAUCUCACCGCCACCGCUGUUUUUAACCUCACCGAAAAUAAACACACCGCCUAUCCAAACUAGCCCUAAGUAACUAUGCUUACAUGUUUAACAAGCCGCCGCUGUCCUGACAAUUGCUGCCGCACUUUUUGCCCAUCUCUACCGGAUGAAGUACAACAACUUGAAUAGCAACAGCAAUAGCAUGGUGCCAUGUCAUCUACCAAUAGUAAAUCUGCAACCUAACCUAACCUAACCUGGAUCUUUUUCUUUUUCCUUUAUGUCAGUUAGGACUCUCUAAUCUCAACUGUCUAUCAACUACCUCUCCUACCUAUGAGGUUGUUUAAUCAUUUCUUGUCCUUUCCCAAUUCUACCCUUUUCAAUUUCCCGACACUGGAAAUUUCAAUUUUUGUCAUUAUAAGUAAAUUAUAAAUUUAAUCCAAUUAAUUUUUGAAUUAAUCAAUUUUAAUUUUUUUUAUUUUAAAUACUAUUAAUUUUAUUCAAUUUAAUUAUUUAACUUUUUAUUUUUCAAAUUUUAACUUGAACGACAACUAUUAAAUAUAUUAAUUAAAAUAAAAUAAUUUUUUUAUGAAUAUUAUGUGAAAAUUACAGACUAACAUUAUACAUAACAAACAAAAUGUUUGCCACAUAAAAAUUUAAAAAUAACAGAAUUUAACGUAACAAAUUUGAUAACUAGUUUUUAACUGGAUUGAAAUUUCAUAUUUUAAAAAAUAUAAAAAUUAAAAUUGACCUAGUACACAAACUAGUGACAUCAGUUGUCAUUCCAUUUACUUGAGCAUUAAUUAUAAGAAAAUCAUUCUUCUUUAAAGCUGUAAAUAGAAUGAAGGAAAUCCUGCUUUUAAAACAGGUGAACUAAAGAGGAUGAGCCUUGCAACAUGAAAGCUCUUUUAAUUAUAUACAAUCAAGCAUAAGACAUACAGCUUUUACAAUUUUCAGCCAUUUUGGACUAACAUUUACAUGGAUUUCUUACUACCCUUUGGUUGAAAAUAAAAUGGUACGAUCAUCCCCCCGGACAUCACACAAUAACAGUUUUUUUACUGGCUCUACAUAAAAAGAUUACAUCAACAAAGCAUCAUCUCAGACAUUUUGUCGGUGCUUCGAAGAGGCAUAUGGGUGCAGAAACUAACUUCUGAUAGGGAUGGAUGGCCCAACAGAAGACAUACUGAAACAUGACAUUAGGACGAAAAUAAAAUGGAAAUCUUAGGUUUCUCGGGAAAAAAAGUGUCCACACACCUCCAUAUAAUCCAUUUGGGAGUUCACAAUUCACAUGAUACCCAAUUUUUAAAUCCAAGGCAAAUGAGCAUCGCCAGUGCUGCUCCUCUUGAUCUGUUGAAGGAAGACCAAACACAGUUCGACAUCGAUAAAACAUGUUGGGCAAAAGUUCUUAUCUUAGCCAUUUAAGGAGAGAUGGUAGACAAAAUAUGUCUUCAUAACGUACAACAAAGUUAAACAGACUGGCCAAUCCGGUCCACCACUAAAUGUCAUCCUUUCACAAUUAGACCAAGUUCUAGCCAAGUAAAUAUUAAUAGGGGCAUUUCAUUCCAUUGCUUUUUAUGUCUCUCAACCUAAGAACAAAUUACCUCAACCAAACCCCAACAAACAAGCACAGAUGCUAACUGUAAGCUAGCUUACGCGUUAGCUUAAGGGUGAGGUUCAGCACCAAGUCUCAUAAAAAAGCACAAGCCUUCUGAUGCUUUCAGCAGGAUAUAGUAAAAUAUUCAUGCUUUAUCAUUUACAUAUACUUUUUAUCUUAUUGGAAUUGAAAACAUGCCCAAUGCUCAACAAGCUAUCAAGACUUUUGCAAAUACCUUUAUAAGUAAAUACUUAGAACUAUUACCCUAACCUUCAUAAGCAACUCUUUUGUAUGUGCCCGGUUAAUUGACCGCUCAUGGGCUUAGCAUGACUAUGAAAUCACAGAGAAUAAGCAAUGUCCAGCAUAAAAGCUUCCAACCACCAGAUCGUAAUAGUUAAUAUCAUGACACACAUGAUGGUACAUGCAAAAUGUCAGAUUUUACAAGACCAACAAAGGGCCAUUACAGCAGUCACUAUAAUUUCUUGCAGUGACUUAUGAUUAUAGAUGAUUUCAUAUUUACAAUAGCUUAAAGUUCAGAUUUCAUAAAAUAAUAAUAACAAAAAAAAUAGCAUAUAAUGAAAAUAUAGGCAUGAGUGUUGAUGUCCAUGUAACUGUACAAUGUGAAAAUUCAAUGAGCAGAAUUAUAGCAGCAUCGCUAAACAGGAACAUGCAACGAAGGCCUUUGCUCACUAACCUCAGAAUACGCGGUUUUGGUUAUCAUAUCAUGUUUGCAUACAGGGCAGAAUGUCCCCCACUUUGUCAGCCAAGACUCCACACAGCUUGAAUGAAAAUCUGCACGCAGCUUUCAUGUUGAUUAACUAAUAUCUAGAAACAAGAUUUGAAUGUGAUAUUCAUCUGUUUACAAAAAGCAAUUUAUCUAUUUUUUUCCCCACGGCCACUAAUAGAAGUAACAGAUUCGUUAAAGCAUGGAGUCAAAGAACUAAGUAGGAUGGUUGAAUAUGUGCAUUAGUGCAGAAACUGCCCUGAUACAACCAAAGGUCUAUGGCUCUAUGGAUUUAAAACUUUCCUCUAUAUCAUUCUUUCUCAUAUUUUAGAUUUGUGUAAAUUGGUAAAUAUCAUGUCUUUUCACUAUUUACACAUUAUAGAGUUGAACCUAACCCGUAAAAGGAAAAACAGAUCCUUGCAUGGAGGAAGGUAAAACAAUGAUAUACACAAGAAAAGAAGCACAGCAAAGGCUACCAAUAAGCUGCAGGAGCAAACCCUACCAUGUUGACAGGGGAGAAUUUUAAGAAUCUCUCCAUCCUUAUAAUCCUCAAGGCAAAUAGCACAAGUUUCGCCGGCAUGGCACUGACUCAAGCGAGCAGAACCAAACGCAACACAAGGAAGAGCUUCAACUGUCUUACUAUCCACACUUUUUACUAAAUUUCUUCUUCGCCAAUUCAACAAAAUUCUGGGAGGCAUCAAGGCUAUCACCAGGAAAGCUGCUAUAACGAGAAGUGAUAGGAAACAUAUAACAAAAAUUGUCAAGGCCUUGCUAUUUGGCCGCAGAUAAAUGCAGCAUUCCCCUUUCUCCCCUUUAGCAUGAUCUUUCAAAAAUUCACCAGCAGAUUUAGAAACAAAAACCGCAAGAAUUUUGAUUCCUGUAGGGUUUGCCAUCACUUCAAACAAAAAAAUACCUCAAUUAAUCAACUAUCGAAUCAUUCUCCAAAUUUUACUAAUAAUAAUGAACUCAAUUCAGUUAAAUUAAUUUUGAAUGAAAAAAUGUAGAGCAAAUUAACUUACUGGAAACUAAACUGCCUCUAUCUUGAUCAUCGUAAACAAUUGCAGCAGAAAAACCCCCGCUUUGAGCUUUUCGAAUUUUUUCCUCGAAAGAACAAUUGCCUCUGAUUGUCAAAGCAAACCUUGUCGGGCCCGUUUUGUUGGAUCCAAAUUCAUUUCGGAGCGGUGUACAGGCAUCCGAGGGAUCCGCCACUUGAAGAGCACCGCAGACGGCAGUGUUAUUCCCACGAGCUAAACAACACAAAAAUUAAAAACAAAUAAGGAAUUUAACUUUUUCUUUUUCUGUUUUAGAAUUUUAUAUGGAAGUAGAGCGUAAAAACAAAUUAAGCUUGAAAGAGUUAGUUUUGUAAGCUUUCCUUCAUUUUCCCAGUAAACAAACAAUGAAAAAGAAGAAGAAAAGUUACCGAAUUUGGCGGGAAGGUCGGGGAAGGAAAUGGAGAAGGGCUCAAAUACAACGAUAGCAGACGAAAAUUCGAUGAAAUAAGCAAUAAAUAUUAACAAAAUAGAAAAUCCAAGCAGAGCUUCUCUCAUUGUCAUUUUUCUUCAACCUUUUCAGCUUAGGUCUGGAGGUAUGUGAUGAACAGUAGGUAAAAUAAGAGACUUGGAGAAGAACGCUAGGUCUGCAUAGAAACGCCGUCGUUUUAUAUUGGUAACAAAUUAGCGUGCCUUGUUGUUAGUGGGAGGGUUUAUGACUUUGAUGAAGCAAAUGGAAUGGGUCAUUAGCUAAGGUUGUAUUAAGUAAUAACAAUUUUUGUAGAAAGCUGCUGAAGAAGAGUCCAGAUGGGAGGCAUAAAUAUGCUGCAAAGAUCUGAUUGGACUGUAUUGCUACUAAUGUUACUAAACCAACCUCUGCUCUCUUACUUAUCCAUUCCCACUGCGACUCAUUUUGAUAUCCCCCAAUUCUUUAUUCUGCUUUCUCACCUACAUUUAAACUCCUUCGAGCUAAGCAUUGUGAAUGUAAUUAUGGAAUUUUUGAAUUUUUUUUUUUUAUUCCUUAUCUUUGCCAAUUAUGCAUUGCACUCAGCUGCAAUUUAAGUUGUUAUGGAUUUAGGUUUCUGAGUUCCAAUCAUUUCAAACUUUAAAUUUGUAUCAAAUCAUUUUAACCUCAAACCUGUUUUUGAGUUUAAAUUAUUUUACAAUCAAAUUUUUAAUUGAAUUAACAAAAAUUGAAGUUAUAAAAUCAAUACAAAGAAUUGAAUUUUUAUCCCAUUUGAAUCAUUAUUUGAAGCUAUUGGUGAAUGUAUUUGGGAUGUCCUAUUAUAGGGAUAUGAUUAAAUUAGUCCCACUACAACUAAAUAUGCUUAAAGUCUCUCUACUUUUUAAAAAUUAGAAAUUUAGUCUAUAUACUUGUAUUUCUAAUAAUUUAGUACCUCUACUUUUUCAAAUUUUAAAAUUUAAGUUCAAUUGUUCAUACUAUUAUUUUCUUUUUUGUUAAAAUUAGGUUAAUUACAACAUCUUUUUUAAUUAUAUGGCUACCAAAUGAGUAGUUUUUUUUUAUUUCAAAAUGUCACAUCAAUAAAAUUAACAGUACUAACAAUUGACCUAAAUUUUGAAAUCUAAAAAUAGAGGAUCUAAAUUUCUAGAAAUUCAAGUAUAAAGACUAUAUUCCUAAUGUUCGAAAAGUAUAGGAACUAUAGACACAUUUUAACUUAAAAUGAAUCAAAUAAUGGCAAAUUGAAAUAGAAUUAACAUUUACAAUUUAACAAAGUUAAUAUUUUUAAAGUUUUUAUAGUUAUAUAAAUAAAAUCUUUUGUUUGAAACUUAAUUCUAAUUGAAAAAUUUUAAGACAUUUUUAUAUAAUUAAAGUUAAAUUUAUUAAUAAGUUCAAUUGAAUUUUUUUUAAUAGCAUAAACAUUAAAUUGAUUCAGUAGAUAAAAUAAUUUGAGUUACCUGAUUUACACGUGUAAGACGUUGCACAAUAUUUAUCGGCUAAGCUGACGGCUCAUUGGCUCCAAACUCUUGAUUCCAUCUGUAGAAUUGUAAAACCGUGGUCUAUAACCAUAUCCAGUUUCUUUAAUUUGCAAGCCAUAAUGAAGAUAUAAUAAAAAAGUCAAACUACAAGUAGCAAUGGCCAAUGUCUGUUUCAAUUGAACUCCUCAUCCGUCUUUUUCUACAUAAUUAUGGGCAAGCCGGAUAAGGGGCCUUGCAAAAUACAUUCACCAUGUAUUUCUAUCUUAAAUAAAAGGGUAAAGUAUAUAAAUGUCACUACACUAUUGAGUUUAUUUUAGUGAUUUAACUAUUAAUUUCUUAAUUUAAUCAUCAAAUUUCUUGAAAUUAAAGUUGUUGUUAGAUUUUUUACAGAAAGUUGACAUGAAAUUUCGAAAUCUUUCACAUAAUUUUCUUAAUUUUCCAUGUGUGAAAAAUAAAAUAAAAUAAAAAAAUAAAGAACACACAGAUUUUAUGUAGAAAUCCUUUCGGGAAAAAAUCACGGGCAAAGAAAAAUAAAAUUCACUAUGUCGAAUUCGAAUUAUUACAAGAGGAAUAGACUAUGUCUAUUUAUAGACUUGUAAAGCCAUAUUCUAGUAAGACUAAAACACCUUAUUCUAAUCAAUAUAAAAUAGAUAGAGUUUAAUAAGGUUUAAAAAAUCUUAUUCUAAAAUAAAAUAAAAGAAGUGUAAUUCUAUAUGGAUUCUUCUUUUUAUUUUAUUUUACCACUGUAUUUUAUUUAAAUAAGGAUUCGGGUUACUUAAUUCUAACAAUCUCCACCUUGACACGAAUUCUCAAUAAACAAGUUCUUCAUCGUGAACUCUCAACGAACAAGUUCUCCACCUCUUCCAUAAAACCCCUUAAGGGUUUAACUUCAACAAUAAACACCAACCAAGUCUAAGCAAUGCUCAAACUUGGUUAUAGGAAAUGACUUAGUGACUGUUUCAAACAGUAAAGGGACUUUUUCAGCAAGCAAACAUAGUCCUCUUUUUCCGAGACUAUAAAACCCUCUGGUUGUUGCAUGUAAAUUAUCCUCCUCAAGUUCUCCAUGCAAAAAUGCAGUUUUUACAUCUAAUUGCUCAAGCUCCAAAUCAUGCAUGGCCACAAUACCAAGCAAAGCUCAAAUCGACCUAUGCUUAACAACUGGGGAGAACACAUCUGUGAAGUCCACUCCUAGAAUUUGACUGUAACUCUUUGCAACAAGCCUUGUUUUAUAUCUGGGUUCUUCAACUCCUGGAGUCCCUUCUUUCUUUUUAAACACCCAUUUACAACAAAUAGCCUUUUUACCUUUAGGAAGUUUCACAAGAUCCCAUAUUCUGUUUUUGUGGAGUGAUUCCAUCUCCUCUUGCAUAGCAAACAUCCACUUUUCUGAGUCUUCACAAGUAACCGCCUCGGAAUAAUUAGAUGGCUCUUGAUUCUCAUCUAUAUCUUCAGCCACAUUUAAAGCAUAAGCAACUAGAUCAGCCUCAGCAUACUUCUUUGGAGGUUUAAUUUCUCUUCUAGUUCUGUUUUUGGCGAUAGAGUAUUGCGGUGAAGAAAUAACUCUAUUCUCAAUUUUUGUACUGGCUUGAGGAGUUGACUUUGUAUUAAUCUGAUGCUCCACUUACUUUUGAUUUUCUUUAUUGGAAGAGUCUUUAAGAGGUAAGUUAGGUAGCAUAGCAGUUUCAUCAGAAACAACAUCUCUACUAAUCACAACUUUUCUAUUUUCAGGGUACCAUAACUUAUACCCUUUUACACCAGCUUUAUAACCAAGAAAAAUAUAUUUAAUGGAUCUCGGUUCUAAUUUUCCAUUAUCAACAUAAGCAUACACAGGACACCCAAAAAUCUUUAAAUCAGAAUAAUUAGCAGGAUUACCAGACCAUACCUCUUUUGGAGUCUUUUUCUCAAUGGCAACGGAUAGGGAUCGGUUGAUCAAAAAACAUGCAGUAGAGGCUGCUUUGGCCCAAAAAAAUUUUGGUAAGUUGGCAUUUGACAAUAUACAUCGAACCUUCUCUAUGAUCGUUCUAUUCAUUCGUUCUGCAACGCCAUUCUGCUAUGGAGCACGGCGAACUGUCAAGUAUGUCACGAUCCCUUCUAACUUGCACAAUCUAUUAAACUCAUCAAAGCAAAACUCUAAGCCAUUGUCUGUGAGGAGGUAUUUUAUUUGUUUUCCCGUCUGUUUUUCAAUCAUAAUUUUCUAAGACUUAAAUGCAGAAAACACAUCGCUUUUCUGCUUCAAGAAGAAAGCCCAAACUUUUCUGGAAAAAUCAUCAAUAAAUGUUAGCAUAUAAUUAACUCCACCUCUCGAAGGCACUCUAGAUGGCCCCCACAGAUCAGAAUGAAUAUACUCCAACGUUCCUUUUGUGUUAUGGAUUCCUCUGGUGAAUCGAACUCUCUUUUGCUUCCCAAAAACACAGUGUUCACAAAAAUUCAUUUUGCAAAUUCCUUGCCCAUCAAGAAGUCCUCUUUUUCUCAAUUCUGCCAUGCCAUUCUCACUCAUGUGCCCUAGGCGCAUAUGCCAAAGUUUAGUAAUACCAUCAUCUGAUAAGGAAGAGGAAGCGACAACUGCAUCACUAGUAACAGUAAAACCCUGCAAAACAUAUAACUUGGCAAUAUUUCUCUGCCCUUUCAUCACAACAAGGGAACCUUUGAAAAUCUUUAAAAUCCCACUUUCAGCUGUGUAUCUGUACCCUUUUGAAUCAAGAGUACUCAACGAAAUUAAAUUUAUUUUCAAUUUUGGAACAUGUCGUACGUAACUAAGUGUUCUGACUAUUCCAUCAAACAUCUUAACUUUAAUUGUUCCAACACCUGCGAUUUUACACGAAACAUUAUUUCCCAUCAAAACAACACAUUCUGAUACUGUUUCGUAAGUUGUAAACCAAUCCCGAUUGGGACUCAUGUGGAAGGUGCAUCUUGAAUCAAGUAUCCACUCCUCGCUUACUUUAGAAUCAUUGACAGAAGCGACUAGAAGUUCACCAUCACUGUAGUCUUCUACAACAUCAGCUUCACUAAAAUUUUCUGGUUGUUUUCCAUUUUGAUUCGCAGCCUCCAUUUUAAUUUUAUUCUGUAGCUUAUAGCACUCAGAUUUAAUGUGACCUUUCUUCUUGCAAAAGUUGCAAGUUUUACCUCUGUUUGAAGACUUUGAUCUACCCUUAGAUUUACCGCAAGGAUUCUAUUCCUGUGUCCUUCCACGAUCAUCAUCAGCAUUCCGAUCUUAUCUCUCACGAACAAUGAAACCCUCUCCCUGAGAAUCGAGUUUAAUCACAAGAUGCUUCAUCUUAUCAUAUGAGGUCAAAGAAUCAUAAACCUCAUCAACUGUGAGAGACUCACAGUUAUAUAAAAUCGUGUCUCUAAAGGUUGAAUAAGACGGGGGCAACGAUCAAAGUAGAAUCAACCCUAGAUCUUCCUUAUCAUACUGAACCUCAAUGGCCUCCAAGUUUGAGAGAAUUUCUUUAAACACUGUUAAGUGUUUGUGUAUAGAUGCACCUUCCUCCAAACGAUGAGCAUAAAGACGCUGCUUCAUAUGCAACUUUCUUGUUAAAUUUUUCGACAUACAUAUUUGUUCUAGCCUCUUCCAUAAUGCAGCGGUGGUCUUCUCUUGUUAGGAUUUCAACCCGAUUAAGCAACAAACAAGAAAAUAGCAGAAUAAAUUGAAAAAUUAAACACACAAAUUUAACGUGGAAAAACCCCUCCAAAGAGGAUAAAAACCACGGGCAAAGAUAAUUUUACUAUAAUGGCAAAAGAACGAAGAGUACAAAAGAUGGAGAUAAAAACUAAAUCUCGAAAACCCGAAAAUAAAGAACCCACAAAAUUCUCUAAAUGUGUUAUGAGUUCUAAUCUUUAAUGGGUAUUUUUCUAAAGUUGUAAAAGAGCCUAUUUAUAGGCUAAAUUCAUAAGUCAAAUAAUAGUAAAAUAAUCUAAACUAAUCAGUAUUUGAUUGAAACAAGUAAAUAGAGUUUAACUGAAAUAUUAUUUCUCAAAUUUGACUAAAAAUAGAAUUCAUAUUUAACAAAUCUCCACCUUGACUCAUAUUUCCACAACACCAUCUUUGCCAAAGCCUGCCACGAGCCUAUAUUAAACUAUACAGGGAAUUAACUGAGUCGAAUUUGUGCUUAGAAAUUGGAAGACUUCUAGCCUUCGACUUGUACACUGCCAAAUCAAAACUAACUCGGGUCUGAUUUUCACGAACACAAUGCCCUAACUUUUCAAAACCUACAUCCAAAAGAGAACCUCUCUUCAACGAAACAGUCAUACAUUUUUCCCUCCUAUGACCAAGUUGCCUCCGCUCCAAACAAGUUGACUUCAACUCCAUAACGGACGAGGGACGUCCGAUUUCACCGGCCGCUGUAUAACCUUCCAGAAUAUAAAGACUACCGGUUCUUUUACCUUUUAACAAAAUGAGAGCUCCACGAUAUACUUUAAUGCGCUCGAAUUGAUGUUGAUUUCGCAUCCUUUCAAGUCUAAAAUACUUAAGGAGAUGAGAUUCUUUUGUAAAUCAAGUACAUACCUGACAUCUGAUAGUGUCUUAAUCGUCCCAUCGUGCAUCUUAAUUUUAAAAGUACCAAUACCAAUUACCUUACUAGAUGAAUCGUUUUCCAUGCGCACAACUUUACCUUCAAUCGAACUAUAUGUGGAGAACCAUUCUCUAUUGGGACACAUGUGGAAAGAACAUCCCGAAUCUAGGAUCCACUCGGACGUGAGCUUGGUGUUGUCGCUUGUUGACACUAACAAGAAAUCAUCACCAUUUUCAUCGGCCAAAUUAGCACCAGCUACAUCUUCCUCGUUACUCUCAGCAACUUUUUUUUUUGCAGUUUAUAACAAUCUGCUUUGACGUGACCUAACUUUUUACAAUAGCGACACCUUUUAUCACUUUUCUUUGAUGCUACCAAAAUGGAAGCUUGCCUAUCUGUCUUGCUAUUCAAAUGAAGCUCAUUGUUGAGUUUGUCUCUACUCAACAAAUGACCCUCCACAUCUUCGAACGAGAGUUUGUCUCUGCCAUAAAUCAGGGUCUCCCUGAAAGACUUGUAUGAAGGGGGUAAAUAGCACAAUAAUAGCAUGGACUGAUCUUCAUCGUUAAUAUGAACCUCAACAUUCUUUAAAUCAUUCAAAAGAGUAAUAAAUUAACUGAUGGGAUCUCUAAGAAGCUCACCUUCGUUCAUGCGAAACGUAAAUAGACGUUGUUUCAACACUAAACAAUUAGCCAGAGACUUAGUCGCAUAAAGAGUUUCUAACCUUUUCCACAAGGCGGAUGAGGUAUUCUCAAUCAAUACCUCCUGCAAUACCGUAUUCGCGAGGCACAACUGGAUUGCAGACAAAGCCUUUUCAUCAAGCUCUUCCCAUUCUGUUUUAUUUAGAUUCUCAGGCUUUUUCCCAGUAACAACCUUUUUCAAAUCGGAUUGAACUAGAAUUGCCAUCAUCCGAACUUGCCAUAGAUUGAAAUUUGUCUCACCAUCGAACUUCCCAAUUUCAAAUCGUGUUACUACCAUCUCUGAAAGGGCUGAUCUAUGAAAAUUGAACUAGCUCUGAUACUAAUUUAUGAAAAAUAAAAUAAAAUAAAAUAAAAUAAAAAAAUAAAGAACACACAGAUUUUACGUGGAAAUCCUUUCGGGGAAAAACCACGGGCAGAGGAGAAGAAAAUUCACUAUGUCGAAUUCGAAUUACUACAAGAGGAAUAGACUAUGUCUAUUUAUAGGCUUGUAAAGCCAUAUUCUAGUAAGACUGAAACACCUUAUUCUAAUCAAUAUAAAAUAGAUAGAGUUUAAUAAGGUUUAAAAAACCUUAUUUUAAAAUAAAAUAAAAGAAGUGUAAUUCUAUAUGGAUUCUUCUUUUUAUUUUAUUUUACCACUAUAUUUUAUUUAAAUAAAGAUUUGGGUCACUUAAUUCUAACACCAUGGGUAAGUCAAUUUUUGAGGUUUUUAUAAAAAUAAUUAAAUACAAAAAUGGUAUUAGAAACAAAUUAAUUCUGAGAAUGGAUGUUUUCUACCAUGAAUAUCGAUGUUGUCUGACUGGUUGGCAGCACCACCUUAUCUUUUCCUCAAUCAUCAUGCAAUCAUAUGGUUUUUUUAUUAAAUAUUUUUUAAUGGUGUCGCCUGAUACAAUGGUAGCAUCAGUAUGUAUUCUUUAAAAAUACUUGUAUUUUUAGCUGUAUACAUAGUGGUUUAAAAUAUAGAAAAAAUAUUUCUUUUUAUCGGUGUCGCUUGACAUAUUAGUAACACUGGUUUAAUUUUUUUUUAAAAAAUAGCUAAUUAAAAAAAUUGUUUUGGGUUGUAUCGAGGCAUGACCGAUUGGUCAUGGUGGCAGCAGGCGUCAGAUCGAUGAUCAAAACCACCAUUAUUAUCGAGUCUUUCUUUACCAUCUGCAUUAAUACCAGUUAUCAAUGAAUGUAUCUGUAAACGAAAACCCAGAUUAGGAUUGUUAUACACAAACGGAGCAUUGUGUAGAUUUUCGUUCCAUGUCAAUAUCGCUCCAUAAUCGCACAGUUCUAUCCAUCCAACAUUCAGAUCAAAGUCAAACUCAUCUACAGAAGGUCACCUAUCAACAGACGCUCUCGAAACUUUAUAUACGGGUCUUAAACUCUGUAUUGUUGAUUUGAUGGAAUGACAUUUUGAUCGGGCUCAACAUUCGCUAACUCAACAAACAAAUCAACUAAUUCAAUGUUCCCAAGUGAGCAAUACAAUACGAUCGUAACACCCUUUACCUGAUUCGGUUGCCAAACCCGAGUUACAAGAUGUUACUGCAAUCAAUGGAAUAGUUACAUACAAAACUAAAUUCUUAAAUCUCAAAUACACAUGCUAUUAUAUAUAUAUCAUUUUGGUUAAGGUUAUAAUGGCAUGUAUAGGUGAACUUGUGGUUGAUGAUUAGUUGAAUGUUAGUUAAUGUGUUUGGCAUGUAUAUGCCAUUUUGGGUGAUGUAGCCUUGGUAUAUUUGGUGCCUUGUUGAUAUCUGUUAAAUUGAUAAUAUGUCAGAGCAUGUUUGAAUCACCAAAGUGAUAUAUGAUGAAUUGACCUCAACAUGGUCAAGAUAUGGUAUGUUUUGGAAAGAUUUUGAACUAGAUAUGGCAUGAAUCUAAUAUGGUAUGUUGGUUAUAUAUAAAUUAUUUUAUAUUUUGGCAUGGAAACAAGUUAAGUGAUAAUUGGUCAAAUAUGCACAUGUAUAGGUAUUUUUGGUUGAUGAUGUAGCCAUUGUUUUGGCUUGUGUUUAUGGCACUUUCUUAUGGAGGAGUUGUUAUUAAAUUGGCAUGUAUGUAUAUGGGCUUUGUAAUGGUUGUUAUGUUGAUAUAUAUGUGACCUUAUGAUGGUUGAUUUUAUAGUUCUUAUGAUGCUUAGGUGAUGGAAAUUGAACAUAGUCAUUUUGGUAUGAAACAUGUGGUUAGCAUAUAUGGUUUAUGAUGCUAAUGUUAAUUGGUAUAUUUGGUACUUUUUGGUAUGAAUUUGAUAGGUAAACAAAAUGGUAUGUUUUCACAAUAACUUAGCUAAAGGUUAGUUGAACAUUUGGCCAAAUUGUGCAUAUAACUGUACAUGUUUAAUUGUUGCGAUUGAAGUGUCUUUUAGGCGUAUUGGUCGUAUGAUUAUAUGCCUUAAUUGGGUAGCUUGAUGAUGCAUGGUAUUAGUGCAAUUUGAAGGCUUGUUAUAUGUGGAAAUUUGGUUGUAGGUAUGUGCUUGAAUGGGUGAGAAAAUUGGCUUGGAAAUGGCCUUUUUUUUUCCACACAGGCAUGUGUUUCAGCCGUGUGAUCUAAGUCAGUCAGUUACACGAGCACAGACAAGGGCUGGGACAUGGCCGUGUGUCCCUACUUCGAAUGUCCACACGGCCGUGUGACCCUUGCAGUUUGAAAAUUUUCAUCUUUUUCCUAAAAAUUUUAUAUGUUCCUGAUUUAGUCUCGAUUCGUUCCUAAUCUAUUUUUAGGGCCUCGACGACUCUUAUAAAGGACAAUUUGUAUGUUAUUGAUUGAUUUUGCUAUGAUUGAUGUUGUGAAUUAUAUGGUUUAAAUUUUGGUAGUUUUAAAUGUAAACUCUGGUAGUGCUCUGUAACUCUAUUCCAACAACGGAUACGGGUUAGGGGUGUUACACUUUGUACAACCAACUCAAUUUGGAUAGUUCGUACACAGACCUAUAAAAACCAAUAUUCAUGAUUAAAUUUGAUAAUCAACAAGGUAAAUAAAAAAGUUCAAAAAUAUUUAAUUAACUAAAAAAAUUCAAAAUAAAAAUAUUUAAUUAUGUACAAAAAAAUUAGAACACUAUCUAGCUCGUUUGUCUUUCGAUUAAUAUUAUUUUACAGUAAUCAAUCUAAUAAAAAUUUCACUGUCAUAAUCUUCGGCAAUGACGCCAACAACUUAACCGUCUAUAAACAUGUUAUUGUUUAUAGUUAAAAUCAUGCAAAUAAAUAAAUAAAAAUUAAAGUGUUGUAUCUGCAAGAGUACAAGCCAAAUUGUAAUAUAGUAAAGUUUACAAUGAAACACUGGUAAAUAUUUUGAGGAUCGUACCCAAGGAAUUGCGGAUUGAAUAAAUUAUUGUUAAAUUAAUUAUAAAAAAUAAUUUCUAAUUUAAUUAAGCCACGAAUUAGUAGUGUGAAUCCAAAUUAAAAGAGUAAUUAAACUAAUUAAAUUAAAUAAACCUAAAUUAACCUAAUGGAAUUUCCUAUUCCUAAUGUCAGCAAUGCAAGCCUCUAGCCUAUGAUCGAUUAAACAUGACCGCUAAUGUUAUCAUUGCUUGUGACCCAUAUUCAGGUAACACCCCUAUAGCUCAACAUAGGGGUCAUGUAACACCCCUAACCCGUAUCCAUCGCAGGAGUAGGGUUACGAGGUAUUACCGAUCAAUACACAUCAUUUAACCUACAUAACUUAUACAUUUAUGCAUUCAUAUUCAAAUACUAUUUAACUGAAUCAUCUUGUCCCUUUAUAAGGCCUACGAAGCCUUAAACAUUCUUUAGAAGUGGUUCGGGACUGAACUGAUAGCAUUUGAAAAUUUUGGAAACUUAGAAAAAUUUCAACACUUCAAGGGUUACACGUCCAUGACUUAGGCCGUGUGGAAACAUGGCAUACAUACUGACUUGCAUCACACGGCUGAAGACACGCCCAUGUGCCAAGCCGUGUGAAAACUGGAGGGUAUACUGACUUGGGUCACACGACCAACCACACGCCCGUGUGUCUAGCCCUUGUGCCCUUCAAAAUGGCCACACACGCCCGUAUGGCAGGUCGUGUACUAGGCCGUGCCAAUCCUAUAGGGUAUACUGACUUAUGCAACACGGCUAACUCACACACCCGUGUGUGAGACCGUGUGGAGUAUACUGACUUCAUUUUAAUAUCAACACUAGGGGACACACAGCCGUAUAACAUGACCGUGCGUCAUACACGGCUGAGACACAUGCUCGUGUCUCUACCCGUGUGGACAAAAAUAGGCUAUUCGCAAAGCCAUUAUGUGACCCUAUUUUCACAUGUAUACACAAGCAUAAAUGGUAACAUUUUAUAACCCAAUAGGCAACCAUUCCACAACAUUCCAUACACAAAUUAUACCAAUUCCACAUAGUAUUCAAAUACUUACCUAAUACCAUACAAUUUCCAUUCAUAAGCUUACCAAAUAAUAAGACACAUUUGCAAAAUUCCAUUUCAUAUAAUAUUUACCAAAACAUACCAAAACAUAAUAUCAAGUUUAGCCAAAUCACAUGGCUUAGACUUAUCACAACAUGAACCAAAAUCACCAUCUCAAGUGAACAUAACUAUCAUCUUUAUAACUAGCCUAUACAUGCCAUAUUUACUUAUAUCCAUAAGUUUAAAAGUACCAAUCGGCAAUUGGAUAGUGUGAUGCAUAACUCUGACUUCUCCGAAACGAGCGAGUUAACAAACCUGUAUAAAACAUGAAAAAAGAAAGAGAGUAAGCUUUAUAGCUUAGAAAGCCUGUAUAAUUCAAAGUUAAACUUACCAUUUAUACAAUUAAAGCAAUAAAUAAAGUAUACUCAACUCAAUUUCCAAAUGUCUAAACACAAACAUUCACCAACAAGUUAGCCAUAUAAGUACAUGUAACCAUCUAUUAUUUCAAUUCAAUACUCAAUACAUUGCAUUAUACCAAAUUCAUAUAUUAUGUACAACAUUAGUAACAUUUCAUUGUCAAUCAUUUAAACAAUAAUUCAUUUGCAAAUAGUAGCUCAUCCAUAUAAACAGUAUUUCAUCCAAAUAAACAGUAUUUAUGCUCGUUGAACCUAUUAGAAUAUCGAGGGAUACUCGGGUAAUAUACAUUACGUAUAAAUCAGUGAGCUGUCAAUUCAUUAUCAUUUUCCACUCUUUCGAGCUAUGAACAGUAAGCUCCCCCAGAGCUGAUGGACAGUAAACUCUAUUGAGCUGAAACAGUAAGCUCUAACGAGCUAAAAACAGUAAGCUUUUAUAAGCUGAAAUAGUAAGCUCCAACAAGUUGAAAACAGUAAGCUCUUACGAGCUGGUAUAUCGAUAAGCUCAUUCGAGCUACGGUGAGUCCGCAACACAUGCAGGAUCUCGACCAAAACGGUAACCCUAGUGACAUGUCACUCGUAUCUUACGAAUUCAUACGGUUCAAACGGGGCUCGGGAAUUAUCAGUCUAUAUCAAUAAGGCAUUCUUAUUCCAAGUAUAUCAAUUAAUCGAUUUUAUACAUACAUUUCAAAUAAUUACAAGUAUUUAAAAGUUCGAUUCUAAUUAUACGAACUUACCUCGUAUAGCUCAGAUAGCAAAUAUCGGCUAUUCUUCCACUUUUCUUUUUCCCCGAUCUAAUUCUGAUCUCAGCUUAUAUUGAUCUAUAUAUUAUCAAAUUCAGUACAUUCAGUAUUCAGUCUAUUCAAUUUAGCCCAUAAUUCAUAUUUUGGAAAAUUUACACAUUUGCCCCUAAACUUUUACCCUUUUUACAAUUUAGUCCUUAACACUUAAUAUUGCAAAUUCAUGCAAUUUAGUACCACCCAAGCUUUGCCGAACUUUAAUAGAGUCCCUGGAAGCCCAUAUAUUUUAUUUAUUCACACUUUUACCCACAUAAUUUUACAUUUUCACAAAUUAAUUCCUUUUUGACAUUUUUUGUCAAAAAUCACUUUAGAAAACUAGUUUAACUAUCAACAAUUAUUCAAAAUCCAUCAUCAACCAUCAAAUUACUCAAACAUUCAACAAUAGAAACAUGUUAAAUCUUUAACAAUUUCAAAAUCUAAGGUACGGGCUAGCUAGAAUACGAAGCAACGAUCUCAAAACGUAGAAAUCAUUAAAAACUGAACAAAAAUGGACUUACAUGCUUGUAAAUUAACUUGGCCGAAUGUCAAACUUCUCCCAUGGCUUUUGUUCAUUGAAAUUUCGGUGGAAAAGUUGAAGAAGAAAGAUGGCGGCUUUUGUUAUUUUAUUAUUAAUAUUAACAUUAUUUACUAAUUUACUAAAUUAACCUUUAAAAUUAUUAUAAAUUACACCAAUUGUCAUGCUAUCAUCAUCCACUAACCCAUAAAUGACCUAUUUCCACUUAAGGACCUUUAUUUUAAUGUUCUAUAGCUAUUUGACACUUUUAGCUAAUAGAACACAAGUUUUACGCUUUAUGCGAUUUAGUCUUUUUUACCGAAUUAACCAUUCAAACAAUAAAAUUUCUUUACGAAACUUUCAUUCAAUAAUUCUAUCAUGCUGUAAAAUUUAAUAAAAUAAUAAAAUAAAUAUUUUUACCUCGGAUUUGUGGUCUCAAAAUCACUGUUCUGAUUUGACUCAAAAACGGGCUGUUACAUAUCAUGUCGCGCUAUAGUAGUUAUUUUGUGGCUUUGGACGUUCCUGUCAUGCUUUCACGGCUUGGGAAGCUUGUGCAACACUCAUCCCAAGUUCUUACAUCAGUUGGGCCUAAAUAAGCAUCAUGCACACUUAAAUACAUAAAUUAAACCUACCUAAGGCCCGUGUCGACCUAAUAGGUCACUAACAUUAAAAAAUAUGUCAAAAAAACUUAUUUUAUUAACUUUUAUUACUUAGCUACUAACUACUAAAAAUGAAAUAAUUAAUAUUAAGAUGCCUCGAAAUUAAGCUUGUUAAGUGCCGAAAAGUACUUAAACUACCACUACAAUUGAUGGCAGGUCAUCUACCCUUAAACAAGUCUGUUGCCAAGUUCUAUUAUAGAGAUUAGAUCAAAUUAGUCCCUCUACUAUUAAAAAGAAUCAAGUAAACUAAAUUUUUUGCAGGUUUAAUUUUUUAAAAUUAAAAUUUCUUUAAAUUGGGUUAGAAUUUAAUUGUUUUCGAGUAUUGGGUUUAUUUUUUUUAUUUUAGAUUUGAGUUUUGGUUAUGUAUUUGGGUAUUAAGUUUAUUUUUUAUUUGGCUUUGAUUGGGUAAUAUAUUUUAGUAUUUUUUAUUUAAAUUAGGUAUUUAUAAAGUCAAAUAAUUAGGUUUGUUUAGUUCAAAAUCGAAAUUGAAUUGAAUUAACAUGUUUUGAUCGACUUCUCCAACCAAUACAAAAUCAAAGUCAACUUAAUCGAAUCAAUUUGACUGAAUUUGCUUGGCUCAAUUGGUCUAAUUAGAUUUAUUCGACUUUUGCUCAUUCUUACCCACUUUGUUUCGCCUAACUUCUAAAAUUGUUAUUUUACUUUUAUAAUAUUAUUUGUAUCAUUUCGUUUUUUAAAAGAUUUUGUUUAUAUGCUAAUAUUUUUAGAACCAGACUGAUGAUCAAACCGUUUAGACCGUCAAUUUUCAGUUUAAAUGGUUUAUAAUUGAAAGGCAUAAUGAUUUUUUUGACCCUCUAACUUUAUAAAAAAAUGUCAUUUAGCCAUCCAUUUAAUUUUCGCCUCUUUUAGUCUUUUAACUUGUGUUGUUUGUCAAAUCACAUCAAAAUGGAUGGAAAAAUUAAUAUUUGUUAACUUUGUUGACGUGAGAUACACAUGGGUUGCCACGUGAAUAUCACAUCAACAAAUAAUUAAUUUUUAAUUUAAAAUUUUAAUAAAAAUAUAAAAAUCAUUAAAAAAAUUAAAAAUUAAUUAAAAAAUUAAUUAAUAGAUGACGUAUAUACAUGCGAACUGCCACGUUAACAAAGUUAACACAUGUUAACUUUUAUUUGAUAAACAACGUAAAUUAAAAAAUUAAAAAAGAUAAAAGAAUAAUUAAAAUAAUUUUUUAAAAAAAUUGGAGGCCUAUUAUACCUUAUUAAAAUUCAAUUGUUUAUAAAAUCUGAAAGCCCAUUAUUGAAGUUUUGUAAAUCCAAUUUAAGGUUAUAUAUUGCACAUUGAUUAAAAAUUCGUAAACCCACCUUUAAACGUUAAAAUCAUAUAUAUAUUCCAAUUUCUUAAUAAUAAUAAAAAUCUUUUACCAAGUUACCAUCUUUCCAUAUUCUUUUUUAUGCAAUCUUCCCAUCUUUUUGACUAUUUGAUUCCUUAUUUUCCAUUAUAUAAUACAUAAAUCAAAUAUAGGUAUAAUUAGUUCUUUUUUAUCUGGCUUUUAACUCGCGUUAACUGAAUUUUAUCUGUUUCUUUAUUACUCGGUUUAACAGGGGUAGUUGAAUUGUCAGACCUACUGAUUCUUAGUUCAAUCAGUCAAUUUGGUUCGGUUCCAACAACAUUACUAUAUAUUAUAUGUUGAGGCAAUUAUGAUAGUAAUUACAACCAUACUUGAUGCUUCUCAAGUUUCAUUACUUGCAUUAUUUGGAAUUAUUAAUCUUUUAAAAAAAAAUUUGAGCAAUGACUUUAUUGAUUUUAUAGACUUAUGUUGAAUAUUUUUCAAGACUGAUAAUUUGAAACAACAAAUCGGAUCUCUCGAAUUAAAGAGAUUAGGUCAACUAAUUUGAAGACUUAUGUUGGACAUCUUCAUAUGGUCUUAAACUUUAUUAAUAUAUUCCAAAUGUUGAUUUAAUUGCUACUUUAGUGGGGAUUAUGAUUAUAUUUUGAUUUACAUGUUAACAAGUAAAAAAAUAUUCUUAUAUAUAUGUUCAUUAGAAAUUGUUAUUGAGAACGUAUUUUUAUAAGUAAAACGAUUGAAUAGUGAAGAAGAGAUCUAGAUUGUAAGAGUAAAGGUGAAGUUGUUACACUAAAGAGUGCUAGAACUUAAUUCAUUAUUUGGACAAGGUUAAAGAUAAGAAUUUGUGUCUUUAGAGUAAAUAUAGGUAAAAACCGAAAUAUGUAGCUUUUUUUUUUUUUUGUUCUUCACUACUGACGCCUAUUAGUUAUAAUUGCUCUUUAUAACUGCUCAUAUUGUUAUUGCUAAAACUCACUGCUUUCUACAAUAUAUAUGUGUAUUGUAUACUAAAAUUAUAUAUAAAUUACGUACAUAAAUAAAUCAUAAAUAUAUAUUUUAUCUAUCUAUAAUCUAUAUAAUAUAUAAAACACAAGUUUGAAAAUUGAUGAAAACAUCCUGUAUUUUUUAUCAUAAAUUAAAUUCAUAUUUAACAAUAAUUAUAAUAUAUAAUUUAGAAUUAUUAGAUAAAAAAGUUGAAAUAAAAUAGAAAUUUUGAUAAUUAUACAUUUAAAAAUAAUUAUUAUUUAAUAGAAGUUAUAAUAAUUACACAUUUAGAAUUUAAAUUAUAAUUAUUAACUAAUUUUAAAAUAUAGUUAUCAUUUAAAUACAACUCUAAACAUAAAAUAUAAGGAAAAUUGUUAAUUUUAUUGAUUUAAAUACAUUUAAAAAUCGUUCUUCCUGCAAACAAGUGACUGAGAAUCAUAGUUUUCGCGCUUUUGAGCCUUGUUGGUGAGUUGAUUAAGUGUGUUUCAUAUUUGUAACGAAUUUAAUAGGAGGCUGAUUUUGGUAUUUAGGUGGAAGAUAAGAGGCGAUGGACAGCCAGUCAGGGCUUGAGUGUUGCGAAAUUACCAUUACUUGCUCGAGGUAAGGACGUUGUUAGAUUAAGGGGAAUGUUCCUUUUGAUGGUGACUUUUAGAAUCGUGAAUUAGGAGAUUAAUUGGAUGAUACUUUGGUAGAAAUGGAGAGGGCAAGCUACCGGGAUUUCAAAAAUACAAAUAGCAUGAAAAACGGGGCUUGGGAGCACUUACUAUUGAGCUUGGAAAACUUGAAACCCUAGCUAUGGAGAACCCCAAAUUUUCGGCUGGAUGAAGGAGAAAAUGGCUGAUUUUGGCUUGAUUUUUCCCAUUUUAAUUCAUUAAAAUAACAAAUGACCAAAAUGCCCCCAUGCACUUUCUUUAAAAUUUCAUCCAUGCAAGCCUAUUUUUGUCCAAAAAAUUAGAAUUUGGGCAAAUUGCUCUCCAAAACCUUCUAAUUUAUAAUCUAAAGCAAUUUCAUACAAAUUGCUUCUAGAAAUCAAGUUUUGCAAUUUAUUCAAUUUAGUCCCUAAUUUUUAAUUGGACAUCUUAGAUUUAGAAUUUCUUCAUGAAACUUUAACACAUGCAUAUACUCAUAUUCUAGGCCUCAUAAUAGUCAUAAAAUAAUAUUUUGAUAUCGGAUUUGUGGUCCUGAAACCAUUAUUCUGACUAGGCCCUAUUUAGGGAUGUUACAAUAUAGAGACGUUCCGUUGGAGGUUCAAGGGAUAAUAUUUCUGGUUGAUUUGGUGAAGCUUCCGUUUGAGGAGUUUGACUUAAUUCUGGGGAUGGAUUGGUUAGUUAAGCACCAAGUGAGUCUGGACUGUGCGUCUAAGAAGGUUGUUUUGAGAACCGAGGGGGACGACAAAGUAGUCAUAAUUGGGGAGCGUCUAAACUACUUAUCGAAUGUGAUUUCUGCUUUGAGGGCGAAAAAAUUAGUGUAUAAGGGAUGUGAGGCGUAUCUGGCCUACAUCAAUGUUUUUGAUUCGGGGGAUUCUUCAGUGAAGGAUAACAGUACGGUAAGGACUUUUCAGACGUCUUUUCUGAUGAACUACUGGGUUUACUUCGGAAUCGAGAGGUGGAAUUUGGGAUUAAACUUAUUUCGGGUACAGCUUCGGUGUCUAUCGCUCCCUACCGAAUGGCACCAAAAGAGCUUACCGAGCUUAAAGCUCAGAUUAAGGAAUUAUUAGAUCGUGGGUUCAUUUGCCUGAGUGUGUCUCCGUAGGGAGCAUCAGUGCUGUUUGUGAAAAAGAAGGAUAGAUCCAUGCGUAUGUGUAUCAACGACCGGCAACUGAAUAAGCUGACCAGCAAGAAUAAGUACCUCCUACCGAAGAUAGAUGAUCUAUUCGACCAGUUUCGAGGAGCUUCAGUUUUCUCUAAGAUUGAUCUUUGAUCAAGGUAUCAUCAGUUGAGGGUUGAGGAGACUGAUGUGCAUAAGACGGCAUUUAAGACUCGUUAUGGACAUUACAAGUUCCUAGUUAUGCCCUUUGGAUUGCUUAUAGUUUUGAUAAACCGAGUGUUUCAGCCCUAUCUGGAUCGAUUCAUGGUGGUAUUUAUUGACGAUAUACUGGUGUAUUCGAAGACCGAGGAUGAGCACAAUAAACAUCUCAGGGUGGUUCUACAGAUUCUGUGAGAGAAACAAGUGUACGCUAAGUUCAGUAAAUGUGAGUUCUGGUUACGUGAAGUAACGUUUUUGGGCCAUGUUGUCUCUGUAAAGAGGAUUAGAGUCAAUCCUCGAAAGAUAGAUGUUGUCUUGAUUGGAAGCAACCUAAGACUGUAUCUGAGAUCCGCAGUUUUCUAGGAUUGGCAGGGUAUUAUCGACGGUUUGUAGAGGGGGUUUCACUGAUCGCCGCACCUUUGACUAAGCUGCUAUGUAAGGGUGUGCCAUUUAACUAGGCUGAUUCGUAGCAAGAGAGCUUUGAAAAUAUCAAGACUGGUUUGACUCAGACUCCCACUCCGAUAUAGCCUAAGCUUGGUAAGGACUUCGUGAUUUACAAUGAUGCUUCACUCGUAGGUUUAGGGUGUAUAUUGAUGCAGGAUGGUAAGGUGGUAGCGUAUGCAUCUCUUCAGCUCAAAAAUCACGAAACGAACUAUCCUACACAUGAUUUAGAAUUGGCUACGGUAGUCUUCGCUUUGAAAAUUUGGAGGCACUACUUGUACGGUGAGAAGUGUACUAUCUAUACUAAUUAAAAGAGCCUCAAGUAUCUUCUCACUCAGAAGGAGUUAAAUCUUAGGCAGCGUAGGUGGGUGGAGUUGCUUAAAGAUUAUGAUUGUACCAUUGAGUACCAUCCAGGCAAGGCCAAUGUAGUGGCCGACGCGUUGAGCCAUAGGGCUAUGACCGAUCUGAGAAUGAUGUUCGCUUGACUCAGCCUUUUCGACGAUGGGAGUCUGUUGGCAAAACUUUAGGUUAAACCAACCUGGAUUGAAUAGACACGAGGUAAACAGUUAGGGGAUAAGUAUCAUGGAUUUUGGUUUUGUCAAGUUGAGAAUGGUGGCACUACUGAUUUUGGGGUAAGCGGUGAUGGGGUACUUUAUUUCCGCGGUCUGAUUUGUGUACCGAAUGAUGAGCAUUUAAAAUAGUCGAUUUUGAGGGAGGCGCAUAAUAGUCUUUAUGCUAUGCAUCCCGGUGGGAACAAUAUGUACCGAGAUAUCCGUGAUUUGUACUGGUGGCCAGGGCUGAAACAGGAAGUUACUGAUUUUGUGACUAGAUGCUUAACAUGCCAGCAGGUUAAGGCUGAGCACCAGUCGCUUUCGGGUUUUCUUCAGCCGAUUAAGAUUCCCCUUUGGAAGUUGGAACGAGUGACUAUGGAUUUCAUUAGUGGGUUACUCCUCACACCCACUAAGAAAGAUUCAAUAUGGGUCAUUGUGGAUCGAUUGACUAAGUUCACUUAUUUCAUACCAGUUCGUACUGACUACUCACUGCAGAAGCUGAUUGAAUUGUAUGUGUCCGAGAUAGUGAGACUGCAUGAGGUGCUGGUUUCGAUCAUAUCUGAUAGGGAUCCUCGCUUCAUGUCUCGGUUCUAGAAAAAGCUACAUGAGGCUCUAGGUUUAAGGUUGGACUUCAGUACUGCUUUCCAUCCUCAGACAGAUGGUCAAUCUGAUAGGGUGAUUCAGAUAUUAGAGAAUAUGUUGAGAAGCUGUGUGAUUGACUUCUGAGGCAGUUGAGAGGAGUAUUUACCGUUGGCAGAGUUCACUUACAAUAAUAGUUAUCAGUCUAGAAUACAGAUGGCACCUUACGAGGCACUUUAUAGUCGUAAGUGUCGCACUCCUUUAUACUGGAUUGAGUUGGACGAACAACGUGUUCUAGGUCCUGAGUUGGUCUCUGAGACAGAGGAUAAGGUUAGGUUAAUUUGAGAUCGAUUGAAAGCGGCGUCGGAUAGGCAGAAAUCUUAUGCAGAUCUGAAGAGGCGUGAGAUCGAGUAUUCUAUGGAGGACUUCGUGUUUCUGAAGGUCUCUCCAUGAAAGAAGAUUCUGAGGUUCGAUCGUAAGGGCGAGCUGAGCCCUAGACUUAUUGGGCCGUACUGUAUUCUGAAGGAGUGGGACCGAUUACUUAUCAGUUGGAGCUACCUCCAGAGUUAGACCGUAUCCACGAUGUGUUUCACUUCUCGAUGUUGAGGCGCUACCGCUCUAAUCCCACGCAUAUUGUUUCAGUUGAAGAGAUUGAGGUUCGACCAGAUCUGACCUUCGAGGAGGAGUCGGUUCAGAUUCUAGAUUGCGACGUUAAGGUUCUGAGGAGGAAAUCUAUUCCUUUAUUGAAGGUGUUGUGGCGAAUUCAAAGUACUAAGGAGGCCAUGUGGGAGCCUGAGGAUGCGAUGCAUCAGUAGUAUCCUCAUCUGUUCUGAUCAGGUAAAUUUCAAGGCCGAAAUUUUCUUUUAGGGGGUAGAGUUGUAACGCUCCCAAAUUUAUAUUUUUGUUUUUGUGAUUUUAUGACACACAACUAUAUAUUUGCUUUAGUGGUUAAGUGUUCUGGGGGUGUCUAAGAAAUUCCAAGUUCAAGUCUUUCAUUGGGUAAAUUUUGGUAUUUUUCUGAAUAAAGCCUUCACCUUGCUCAAUAGGCUUAUAUUUAAGUAUUUGUUAAACCGUAUCAGAAUGGGCCUACUGGUCUAGUGGUUAAGUUAAGUGUUAGAUUGCUAAAGGUCUUGUGUUCAAAUCCCUGCGUGAGCAUGGGAGUCUAUUUUUACUUGUUUAGCCGUAAGAGUUUCGGUCAAAUAGGAAUUCUAAGUAGUGGCUAGUUGCUGGAGUAAAAUAAAGGGAGAUGAGAUAUUGGAAUUAUCAGUUAUUCCUUUGUUUUUUCAAAAUUUCAUUUUUCUCUCACCCUCUCAAAGUUUCUGACGUUUCAUUUGUUUUUCUAUUCCAUUCUCCCUGCCGAAAUCCUUCUCUCCACUUCACUAUCAUUACUGUUUCUUUUAUUUUUAUUUUAUUCAUUCUUUCUGCAAACAAGUGACUGAGGAUCAUAGUUUUCGCGCUUUUGAGCCUUGUUUGUGAGUUGAUUAAGUGUGUUUCAUAAUUGUAAUGAACUUAAUAGGGGGCUGAUUUUGGUAUUUAGGUGCAAGAUAAGAGGUGGUAGACAGCCAGUCAGGGAUUGAGUGUUGCGAAAUUACCAUUACUUGCUCAAGAUAAUGACGUUGUUAGAUUAAGGGGAAUGUUCCUUUUGAUGGUAACUUUUAGAAUCGUGAAUUAGGAGAUUAAUUAGAUGAUACUUUGGUCGAACAUAGGUUCUAGAGUGUUUGGGGUUCGUUUUAGCAUCAAACUGUAAUAGGUAUGUACCCAAAACGUAGGAAACAGGGUUCAGCGAAAAGCUAAAAAAUCAUGUUGUCGACACCACAUGGGUGUGUGGUCACCCAUGUGGUAGGCCGUAUACGACAACACGGUCGUGUGAUUGAUGAGGCCAGGCUAUGGGUGCUAGACAUAGCCGUGUGAUGGCCAGGUAGGCUGUGUGUGACACACAGGCUAGACGAAAUUAGGCCGUGUGGGCCACAUGGGUGUGUGGGCCCACAAGGGCGUGUGGAAUUCUGGGCCAAAUCAUGUGUUCCAUACGGCGAAGGCCAAUUUGGGCCGUGUGGGCAGCAUAGACAUGUGGGCCCACAGGGGCAGGCCACAUGGGCGUGUGAGUCUAUUUUUCUGAAAUGAUCUAUAAAGUUGCACGGGUCACCCAAGUCGACUGUGGACCUACUGUAGGGUUGGUAAGCAUUACUUAGACACUUAUUUAUGUGAUCUGAUUAUAUAGUGUCUGACUGAGCAUGAUAUCUGUACCGAACUGAAUGUAUGAUCGGUUAUUUGCAUGUUGCAUGUCAUAUUUGGUAUGUUGCAUUGCAUCGGGGAGGGUUGAUGAUAUUUCGGAAGAAGUGUCUGAAGGGAUUUAAGCUUGUUAUCUGGCAGCUCAGUUGCAUUAUUCGGUUUAUGUGCUGCAUUUCGGUACAGCAUAGUGUGUCGGGAUGGGUGGGUUGAUUAUAUCCCUACAUGGUGUGUAGAGCUGGACAGAGAUGGUGUGUAGAGGCUGGUAGGUAGGAUUCUAAUAUUCUGAUCUACAUUUUUUAUUUGAUUGGGCUGAGGCCCUAAUAUAUUUCUAAUUCCGUAUCCGAGUGGCCUAAGGCCCAAACUAUUUCUGUAAUGGGCUCUGGCCCAGUCUGUGAUUUCCGAUUUCUAGUGAUUACUCUGUACAUUUGAUAUCUAUAGGGAUUACACACUGAGUUGUGAAACUCACCCUUUUCUGUUUAAUCUGUCUAGGUAAUCCCCAGACUUGACGGAUCGGUGCAGCGGAAGACUCUAUGGUGGCCACACGUAAAAUCUUAGACUGUUUUUCGCAAAUUUUCAAAUUUAUUACUUGGUUGGUUUUUGAUGUAAUUCUGGACUUGGACUGUUUGGUUCCUGCUUCGAAACUUUAUAUUGUUUUAUGGUUAUUUAAACGGCAACCCAACAAAAAUGGUUUUUCCUAAAUUAAUUUAUUACAACAACUUCCGCUUAAAAAGGACAAGUUUGAGACAAAACAUCUAGUGCGUGAUUCUUUCAAUUUAAAUCAAGGUUACCUAACUGGAAUGAUUUAACUUAAGAGUUCGGUUUCAAAAUCCAUUCCAUGUGACAUCGCCAGAUUCGGCCAUAACGCUUAAGUCGGGUUUGGGGUGUUACAUUACAAAUGCAGGAGCAUGUGGGUUCGAGUGUGUUGAGGCAUGUUAUCCUCCUAUUUAUGGGUUGGGGAGGGGCUAUGGGUAGUUCUAGGCAUUGUGUCAAAAAGAAUAGAUAUGAUCAGAACCUAUAAUUAGAUUAUUCAAAAAAAUAUGUUAUUUUACGCUAAUUAUUGGAAUUAAAAGUAAAUUUAAAAAACUAAUUAAAUAUUAAACGCCUAAAACCAAAGUUAGUAUAUAUAAAAACAUAAGUUCGGAAAAACUUUUGAAUUGAUAAGAAUAAGCUUUAUUGUUAAUUAUAUUACUAAAUUAAUAUUUAAAUAAAAAUUUAUUAGUGUUAUUAGGUGAUAAUAAUAAAAGUAAUAUUAAUUAGAAAUUAAUUAAUAUGAUAGUAUAUUAAUUAAAAAUUAAUUAAUUUCCUCAUAUUUUUAAAAGUUUUACAUAAAAAAUAGCAUAAUAUAUUAUUAAUUAAUAAAAUUAUAAAUCAAUAAAAUCAUUAAAUAUAAUUAGAUAAAUUAAAAAUAAUAAAAAUUCAAAAUUUUUAAUUAAAUAAAUAUAAUUUUAUAUAUAAAUAUGAUUUCUUUAAAUAUGAUAAUAAUUAAUAAUGUUAAAACCAAUAAUUUAUAAUUAAUAAAAAUUAAAUGUGUGAGAUUAAUAUUAUAUAUAAAAAGAUAAUAUUAAUAUAUUAGUAAUCAAAUUUAUAAUGUAUAAACCAAUUAAUUUAUGAAUAAUGUUUUCAUUAUUAAUAUAAUAGUUAUUAUCACUUAACUAGACUUUGAAUCAAUAUUAAAAUACACUUAUUAUUUUAGAUUAGUUCUCACUUAAUUAGUGUUACAAUUAUAGACCAAUUAAAACUAAUAUUUAGCACUAUAAAUAUAUGUAUUAGCAAAACAUUUUCAUUCAAAAUAACAUAUAAAGUGUUACACAGGGAAAAUUCUAUUUUAUUAUCAUUUAAUAGGUUUUGUUUCAAUCACCAAAAAAUGUAUAAUUUUCAUUAUUGUUUGAGACGUUGAAUUAUUAUUUGAUAUUCGAUAGUUGAUUUCAAUAAUAUUAACAUAAUUGUGAAUAUUGUUUACUAUUGUGUUGUGAAAUGUUAUGUUAAAGGCAAUGAAGUAUUAAAGUAACGGUUUUUAAUAGGUGAAAUUUUGACUCAUAUUCCAAUGACAUGUUAUUUUAUCUAAUUACUUAAUAUUUUACUAAAUUAUUACUUUUAAUAUGUUAUUUUAUUCUUUCAAUUAUUUUUCAAAAUUAAUAGACUUUUAUUAAAAAUUAGACCAUUUAUCAUUUAAUUAAAAUAAAUAUUUUUUUUAAAAAUUAUAAAAUAUAUUAUUUAAUAAAUUAAAAAUAAACAUAUAAAAUCAUAUGCAACGCAUGUGACAUUAAAACUAGUAAUAUAUAAAAAGCACCUUUAGAGAAAUUUUUGAACUGAUGAAAAUAUUUUUUAUUGUUAACUAUUACUAAAUUUACAUUAGAAUAAAAAAUUAUUAUUUUUAUUAUAUAAUAAUAAAAGUAAUAUUAAUUAAUAUGAUACCAUAUUAAUGUGAAAUUAAUUAAUUUUUAUAAUAUUUUUAGAAGUUUUACAUAAAAAUAACAUAAUAUAUUAUUAAUUAAUAAAAUUAUAAAUCUAUAAAAUAAUUGAAUAAAUUUAAAAAUAAUAAAAAUCCAAAAUUUUUAAUCAAAUAAAUGUAAAAAAUCAUAUAUAUAAUUUUAUUUUAAAUAUGAUGUCGAAACCCUUUUUAUUUUGAAAACAAUGGGAAUCGACUUUUGAAAACAAAAAAAAAAUGUGGAGUCGCCACCAAUCUCUUGAUUUAGGUGUGAUUGGGCCACCUAUUAUUCAUGAAAAAUAAAAAAAGUGGGUUCGGGAGUCGGUUACGCAUGAGGAAGGGUUAGCACCCUCAUGACGCCCAAAAAUUGGUACCUAAUUGAUUUGAUGCUGUCCUUAUACCAAAAGGUCUUAAAAGAAAAGAUUUUUCAAAGUAUGAUUUUUUUAAAAUGCUUGAACAGUUCAAAUUAGUAGUAAAAAAUCUCUCGUUUCAAAAAUGUGCAGUAUCAUACCCAGCACGAUUGAAUACGAUCCUUUAUACCUUUAAAAACGCGAUUAAUUUUCAACUUUUGAAAACUCAUAUAUUAAAAUUAUAAAAGGUUAUCCAAAUAUUUGGUUCACCGGAAAAGUCAUACCCAGUACGAUUGAGCAUGAUUUUCCGAAUUCCCCAAAUAUUAGAUAUUGCCUUAUUUCAGAAUUUUUUGAAUGAUAAAAGAAAUUAGAAAUUUGCUCAAAAACAUGUUCAUUUGUUUUAAAAUAGAUGAAAUACUUAAUGCAUUGUAACAAGACAUAAAUUUGCAUAAAAACUUGGGAUACAUGUUUAUUGAAAUAGUUAUUAUAAAAUAAAAAGUUCAAAUCAAAUUAUAUAUGAAAUAUUUAAAACACAAAUUCAUUCAAAAAUUGAUAAUUCACAUGGUAACUUAAAUAAUGUAUUAAAAAUGAAGGAAUUACAAUACAUGAUAUAAAAUAAUAUACAUAAUAAAUUUAUGAAACAUGUAUAUACAAGUAAAAUUGGGUAUAAUUAUUUGUAAAAAAAAUGAAAUUAAUAAUGUAUGAAAGAAACAAAGUAAAUAUAUAAGUUAUAUAUAUGUAACAAAAAUUUCUAAAAAACAAGCUCAUAUACAAAAGGCAAAGCUAUAUUUACACACAAAUUUAGUGAUAUAUAUGAUAUAUAUAUAUUUAUAAGAUUAUAUUUAUAAAGGGAAUUUAGAAACAAAUAAUAUAUAAUUUUACAUGUAACAAAUUGAUUUAGAGUGAUGGAAUAUAUAUGAAUAAUACAUACAUAAGGAUAAUAUGAGAGUAUUCAAUAAAUAAAUUAUAUAAUUUAAAAUAAAAUUCUUACAAGAAAUUCACUAUACACAUAUAUAAUUUCUAAAGAAAAAUGUAUAUACAUAGGGAAGAAAGAAAAUAUUUACGUAAGGUUUUAUGAAAAUAAUAAUAUGCACUAAAAAAAUAAUUUUAUAUGGGUAAUGUAUAUAUGGAUAAAUUUUAAAAAUAAUUGUAUGUCAAAAUAUUAUUGAGUUAAAAUAUGAAUUUUAAUAUUAACUUAAUAUUAACAUAAAUUAUAUACAUAAUAAAUUUAGAAACAUAAGUAUACAAGUUUAUAAAUAUAUAUAUAUAAGAAUAACAUGGCUUAUGUAAUAUAUGUAAAUUAAAUAUAUAAAUGUUAAAAUAUAUGCCUAAUGAUAACUUAAAUGACACAUAAAAUAAACGAAUAUAAAUAUUAAAAAUAUAAAUAAAUUUAAAAGAAAAAAACGACAUAAAAUUAAUAGCAUACAUAAAUUAGAAUGAACUUUAUUGCAAAUAAUAUACAAAUUAUCAAAAUAAUAGAAUAAAAAUGCCAAGAUCAUUAAAAAUAUCCACACAUAUAAUCCAACAUGUAAUAGAACGUGAAUAUACAGUGUUUAACAAACUUAAUUAAAACAGAAUUAAAAUAGGAGGGUCAAUCUACGAAUAAAGUAAUCAUAAAUGGGAUUAAUGUGUAAUGCGCAUUAACAUAUAGGGACUAGAAUGGAGAAUUGUCCAGGCCCCAAAGCAUAAUGUUGCGGUGCAGAUCCAAUUGCAAAAACGCGCAAAUGUUAGGGAAAAUUUAAAAAAACUGGUAAGUUGCAAUUAGGGGCUAAUCAGAAUGCAACACAAAAGGAGAGGGACUUGAUGCAUAAAAAACCCCUUUUGAGCGCAAAAACGAGGAUCCGGGUCUUUUGGACGGGCUGACGCGCGGGUUGCUCCUUCCUAAAGCUGUACCGUUUCAUUAUUUACCCAAAAUUUAAAGGAAAUUGAAUGGCUAUUAACCAUUCCUUCCAAACGCAAGCCAAACACCCAAUUUAUUUAGGGUUUUGACUCAGCAGCCUUUAAUUUCUAAGGCUAUUUCAGCACCAGUACACCAUUAAAAUUGGUGAGGUGUAUAGAAACAGCCUUUAUUUCAAUUGAAAUCAACACUUCAAAGACCAUUUUCAUUUGUGAAUCCGCAUUUCUAUCCCCGAUUUCAACGGAGAAGCCAAGGGAUCUCAUCAAUGCAUUUAGCAAAGGUAAUUUUUCUUUUUCUUUCCUUUUUAAAAAAAAACUAAAAACCAGGUAUAUGCGAAAAUAUAUAUAUGUAUAUAUUGAAGACGAAAGAGGAAAAAAAAUUGAAUCACCUUCUGAUUUCUUUGAUUUCUGGUACUGGAAUUUUGUAGUGUGCGUAGUGUAUAUUCUGUGUGCGUAAAAAAAUUUGCAUGUACAUCAAUGGCUUUUAUAGCCAGAUUCACAAGAUAAAUAAAAAUAAAAAAUAUAUAAAAAAUCCUAUUUUCCUACUGUCGUCUGCUAUGAAUUCUGUUAUUGGCUCCUUCUGGUGUGUUCUUUUGCAGACUCGGUUGUACAGUGGAGUGGAGAGACGUGCGAAGGAGGCCAUGUGAGGAGUCACUCGUGGGAGCCCUAACUCUCUGGCUUAUUCUGGCACGUUCCAGAAGCUUCCAGUGCUGCUGAGAUAUUUUUGGGUGUAUUGGGCCUGGGGUAAUGGGUUAUUUGGGCUAUUUUAUAAAAGAACUUGGACUUUGAUUUAAUUUUGGGCUAUUUAUUUUCUCUUAUUUUUUUAUAUUUAUUAUUUUUAGUUUAUAAUGGGCCGGGCGAAUUGGGCCUAUUACAUAUGAUACUAAUUGAUGAAUUAAGAAUUAACAUUUUAUGUUAUAUAUUACUUAAUACAUCAUUUUAUUCUAACUAAUUAUUUAAUAUUUUAC
rnacentral:lncRNA from 1 species